UUCCUUACUUACUUAAGUUCUUGUAUAUCGCUGUUUAAUGAGUCUACUUYAAGGUAAAAUUCUCUGGAUAGUAUAUUAAUUAAGAUUUCAAGUCAAGGUGCAGUAAUAUGUAAGUGAUAAUGGAUUACAAUAAAGUGUAUUUAAAUGGAUUUUAAGUUGAAAUAAAUAAUUGAAAGUGGAUUUGAGUGUAAUUUUUUWWAGAUUGUUGAAWUGAUCWAUAGCCCUAUAAUAUGUACA
rnacentral:rRNA from 1 species